ACGCUGGCGGCGUGCUUAACACAUGCAAGUCGAACGGAAAGGCCUGCUUUUGUGGGGUGCUCGAGUGGCGAACGGGUGAGUAACACGUGAGUAACCUGCCCUUGACUUUGGGAUAACUUCAGGAAACUGGGGCUAAUACCGGAUAGGAGCUCCUGCUGCAUGGUGGGGGUUGGAAAGUUUCGGCGGUUGGGGAUGGACUCGCGGCUUAUCAGCUUGUUGGUGGGGUAGUGGCUUACCAAGGCUUUGACGGGUAGCCGGCCUGAGAGGGUGACCGGCCACAUUGGGACUGAGAUACGGCCCAGACUCCUACGGGAGGCAGCAGUGGGGAAUAUUGCACAAUGGGCGGAAGCCUGAUGCAGCAACGCCGCGUGCGGGAUGACGGCCUUCGGGUUGUAAACCGCUUUCGCCUGUGACGAAGCGUGAGUGACGGUAAUGGGUAAAGAAGCACCGGCUAACUACGUG
rnacentral:rRNA from 1 species